rnacentral:tRNA from 1 species
GCGGGAGUAGUUCAGCGGUAGAAUGCCUCUCUUCCAAAGAGGAGAUCGCGGGUUCGAAUCCCGUCUCCCGCU